UACAGAUGAUGAACUCACUGACGGGCAGAGACUGUGCUCUGUCAUGUUCUGAUUG
ensembl:snoRNA